AAAGGUUUCUUUUUCUUCGUUAAAAUAUGCAGUAAAAAAAAAUAUUAUGUCAAAAUGUAUAUGAAAACAGAAAACAAUAAAACAUUUAAAAUCAAUGAUCAUAGUUUAAACUUAGUUCCCAGUGUAAUUAAAUUGCAGUCUUGAAACGGAAAUUCUGUUUAUCUGAUCUGUCAAAAUGACAAGUGUGCAUAAAUUUUAUAGUUACAAAUCAACUAAUCUAUCCAUUAAAUCUCAUUAGAACUCAUUAUGUAAAAACCACAACAUCAUAAAUAUCUCUCUGUGAAAUCCCAGACACAGAUGUUCGAUACCAUAGGUCGUAAAAUCUUGACCAUUAAACUCUUACUUGUUUAUUUUACGGAUACUUCCAAGAGCACGACAGAUUACAACUGUCAAACUUGCUCAAGUGAACACUUGCGAUGCAUAAAAAUGUAGCUUUAAAAAUAAACAUACAUGUUUCAAAGUGAUGACACUAGCAGAGACCCGA
rnacentral:lncRNA from 1 species